AAAUUGAAGAGUUUGAUCAUGGCUCAGAUUGAACGCUGGCGGCAGGCCUAACACAUGCAAGUCGAACGGUAGCACAGAGAGCUUGCUCUCGGGUGACGAGUGGCGGACGGGUGAGUAAUGUCUGGGAAACUGCCCGAUGGAGGGGGAUAACUACUGGAAACGGUAGCUAAUACCGCAUAACGUCGCAAGACCAAAGUGGGGGACCUUCGGGCCUCACACCAUCGGAUGUGCCCAGAUGGGAUUAGCUAGUAGGUGGGGUAACGGCUCACCUAGGCGACGAUCCCUAGCUGGUCUGA
rnacentral:rRNA from 1 species